UGCAGAGGACAGUGUCAGGGCUCUGGCUGAUCCUGCUGGAUCCAUCUGGUGGCCUGCCCCUCCCCAUUCUAUUGUGCUUUUGCUUCAACAGCCAGCACCCGCUCCUCUCCUUGGCAGGACUAGCCUCAGGCUGCCAGGCGUCUCUGUCCUGCAGCACGCAGAGAGCUAGCAGUGCCUAAGGACCCCCAGGUGUCCCUUAACCAAUGAAAGAAGGCCACAGAAGAACGACGGUCCAGCUCCCUUGCUUUGAGUUGGGACAGCUCGGAAGUGUAACUUACGCUCCAGAGUGUCCUGCAGGAUGGAGCUGGGGCUGUGCAGGGUGGGACCUUGCCUGAGGUGCACUGCCUGGGCCUGCCUCCCUGACAAGUCACGUGUGCAUCCACCCUCCUCCAAAGAGCUCCGAAGGUCUGCUCCAGGGUGUCCCUCCUAAGACAGACACUUUGCCAACCACACUGGAAAGAGGCUGAAGAUGAUCAACGUGAAAACCAGCUUGCUGAGUCUACAAGCAUUGUCUGUCAAGGUGCAGCGUUCCCCUGGGAAGCCCUCUCGGGGAAACCAAGUUGCAGUACAAACAUCUCUGGGUGAACCAAGAGUGAGAGCAGGUUGGUGGGGGGUGGUUGGGCAAUGUUUCCGUGAACCCCAGCUGGCCCGUGGCUCACCAGUCCUCCUGCACAGACUAUUGCCCCAGGGAGAUGGGACUAGAACCCCAGCCUCCUUACCCCUGGAAAAGACAGUCUUUGGCUCCCUUCAGAGUGUGCUCCCAAAGACCCCAGCCUCUGAUCUGGGUCACAGCAGGACCUCAGGCUGGGACCACACGCUUGGGUUGCAACAUGGUGGGUUUUCUUUUCGGCGCUGCCUGCCAGACACAUUUUCUUGAGGCCACAGCCUGGUCACUGUAUUAGUCAGGAUUCUCCAGAGAAACAGAACUGGUAGAUUGGAUGUGUAUAUGGAGAGGGAGAGGGAGAGAAAGAGAGAUUUUAAGGAAUUGGGUUACGUGAUUGUGGGGGUUGGUGAGUCCAAAACCUGCAGGGCAGGCGGCAGGCUAGAGAGCGGCAACUCGGUCUGAAGGCUGCCUGGAGGCAAAAUUCCUUCCUUCUUGGGGACUUCAGUCUUUUUCUCUUAAGGUCUUCAAAUAAUUGCAUGAGGCCUACCCACAUUAUGGAGAGCAAUCUGCUUUACUCAACAUCUACUUAUUUACAUGUCAAUUGGAUCAAAAGGGGAAAAAAAUUACCUUCAUGGCAACAUCUCAACUGGCAUUUGGCCAAAAACUAGGUACAAUGACCUAGCCAAGAUGACACAUAAAAUUAGCUUUCACAGCCACCUUGGUUGAACUGUUUUCUGCACUUAAAGUUAAGAUGCAGUUCAUCCUCCCUUAAGAAACCUGGAAAACCUGCGGGCAUCCCCAGCAGCAAGUCAUCUUUCCAAGUGGUUAAUCUCAUUCACUUUACUUCGGUUCUCACUGACGUCAGCUUUCGGACUUGGCUCUCCAAUCUCCCUUGCUCUGCCUCCUUUGGAGCACUCAGCACAGACCAUGCUGGACCGCAGAGCAGUGAGCAUAGACGCUAAGAGCCUGGGUUCGAGUCAGAUGCAGCGUUGGAUUCCAGUUCUGCCGUCUACACCCUGUGUGAUGGCAGCUGGUCAUUUAGCCUCUCUGAGCCUGUUUCCAAGCAGUAAAACAAGGAAGGCACCACAUGUCAAGGAAGCUGUGAAAAGUCAAUGGAAUCAUUCCUAUUACGUGUAUUUAUUGAACACCUACUCUGAGCUGAGCACUGAGGGAGCCCUGGAACAGGCCUGGCAGAGAGAAAACGGGGUGUGUGUCUGGGAGCUCACAGUCAGGAGUAGAGCUUGUGUGAGACACUCGGCACAGUCCCAGACUCAUGGGUAAUCAUGGCUCUUGUUAUUUUCUGCUGAGAGUUACUGAUUGCCAAUAAAAGCCUCCUUUGAACAGGCAGAAAACCCCUGUGCAUUUCCUGAGGAGAGCAAAGAAAUGAAGUGCUGUCAGUAUGCACAGUCCACAGUCACUCAGACAUAACCGUGGCCCCUUGUGGCUCAUGGAAAAAUAACGGUAUUGCCCAUUCCAGCAGGCAACUUUUAACUUGAUAAAAAGGGAAUGUAGCCAGUCACUCUUGGGGAGGAGAAGCCUGUAAUUAGCAUCCGUGGUUUUCCUUCUCUUAUGCAAUUGGGGUUUGGGGCAUCCAAACCGGGACACAUAAUCUGAGUGUAUUUGGGGGAACAAUGGGAAAAAGAUACAUGCAAUUGGAAUUGCCCCAGUGAAUCCAUAAUUUGUGGCCACCAAAGAAACAGGCUAUAUUUCAAGCUCAUCUUGAAGAACCUGGUUUGCCCAAAUCCUUUUGCGGUUUCAUUCCUCUAGCAUGAAGUCUCUGUCUUUUGUGUCUCACCUGUGUUAUGCACCCUCCCCCAGUACCCUCAAAGAUGUGCAUGUCCAAACCCUGGAACCUUUCCAUAUGUUACAUGACAUGGUGAGAAAAGGAUUGAGUGUGCAGAUGGGAUUAACGUUGCUGAUCAGCACAUAGGGAGAUUAUCCUGGCUUUGUCCCGUAGGCCCAGUGUAAUCACACGGGUCCUCACGUACUGAAGAGGGAGACAGAAGUCAGGACCAGAAAGACGGCACUGUGACAAAGACUCGACUGGACAUUCUGACUUUCAAGAUGGAAGAGGCCACAUGCCAAGGAAUGUGGGUGGUCUCUGGAAGCUAGAAAAGGUUGCAAGACUGCUGCUGCAUCACAGACUGCUGUCUCUGUUAACAGACGUCGCGGCUGCACUGCAGACAGGAAGAAGGGCCCAGGAGAAGAACGCUAUGCAGGGCUCAGCAAUCUGACACUCGGAGGGAAAGGAAAGAAUGAGGCGUGAUGGGAAGGCAACUCAUGACACUACAUAAUUCUCACAACCACGCUAUUAUUGGCCCCAUCGUGUACAUGAGAAAAUCAAGGCUUAGAAAGGUUUGCUGACUUGUCCGAGGUCACAGAGCAAGUAAGUAAAGGGGCCUGGACUCAGACCACUGUAUUUGGAUGGCACAGGCCAUCAGAUCACACUGUGCUCACCUCUCCCAUGCCUCCUUCUGUGUUCCCCACGGGCAGGCCCUUUACAUUGGCUUCUCAUUUAAUCCUCCUGACAACCUUGCCCAAUGGGUAUUGUGCCCUUGUUUCAUGACAGAGAGCAAAAGGAUUCGAACCCUGUUUUCUUGGUCUCCAAAGCCCAUACCAGCACCCAUACCCAGACUCCUUUUCUGCUGUUUUGGUCACUGUAUGUGGAUUCUUUGGACUUCCCUCUGCUAGAUUAAGUUUCUACACAGUGCAAUGUUCUAGGCCAGACUUACAGACCUAUCUUCACUUCAUUGGGAUUGGAACAAUGCUAACAGCUUUAUCCAGAUAGUCUCACUGAUGACCUAGGCUACAGCCAAAACUCAUUCCUAUUGGGGGACUUGAAAUCCUUGCACCUUGAAGUCCCUCCCUGCGAAAGUACAUAGUUUUGUAUACGCUUGUUCCUCCUUCUAUAGCAUUAUGAAAUUUCCCUAGUUUUUCCUUAUAAACUUGGCAUUCACUACUCAGAAAAUCUUUGGGUUGACUGCAUGCAGACUGGAAGAUUUAAGCCUAUGUAAUUAAAACUCAAAGGCAACUUCGUUUGAGGCAGAAAAUCCCAGGAGUAACAAGUUCCCGCUGUGUGGUCCCUCUGGGUCCAAAUUAAGAGCCCACAAAACCCUCCUCCAGGGCUCCCCAGGCACAGUGGGUUCAAUGAAGAGUUUGAAAACCCAUCUGGUUGGUGCCAUAAGUGGCUAGUGAGCCCAGCUGCUUGCUUUUCACAUAACUUAAAGGAUUGCAUUGUCUCAGGCUGACAGCAUCAGGGACCCCGAGAAUCUGCGCAUAGCAAUUGUAAAAUGGACCGUGAGUCUUGCAUCUCUAAGAGAUCAUGUAGACAGCAAACAAGAAAUCUAUAUGCAGUGAUCAGCUCACAGGACAAAAGAACCCAACAAUGUGAAUCAGUCAAGAGUGGUGUCAAAUGCAUGUACAGAAGACCUUUACUUGAGUGGCUUAAAUGAUAUAGGGCUUUGUGUGCUUGGUUGCUUUGCCUCUCACUUAUAAGAGGCCCGAAGGUAGGUAAUCCAUGGCUAACACGUUGGUCCCAUGACAUCAGCAGAGACCCCGACUACUUCUAACUUUCUGCUCCCUGCUCAGGGCAUCCGUCCUUGGCUGGGGGUUGGCUGCUGUAGCUACAGUCUGUGUUCCA